AUGUAGGGCAAUCUGUCUUUAUGUAGGAGUAACUUACUCUUUAAAAGAAAAAGAAUCUUAAAUAGUUUUCCCUUUGUCAAGUGUCUUGU
rnacentral:pre_miRNA from 1 species